GGGUCCUUCGGGACUAGUGGCGGACGGGUGAGUAACGCGUGGGAACGUGCCCCUUGGUACGGAAUAGCCCCGGGAAACUGGGAGUAAUACCGUAUGUGGUCGAGAGACGAAAGAUUUAUCGCCAAGGGAUCGGCCCGCGUUGGAUUAGGUAGUUGGUGGGGUAAUGGCCUACCAAGCCGACGAUCCAUAGCUGGUUUGAGAGGAUGAUCAGCCACACUGGGACUGAGACACGGCCCAGACUCCUACGGGAGGCAGCAGUGGGGAAUCUUAGACAAUGGGGGAAACCCUGAUCUAGCCAUGCCGCGUGAUCGAUGAAGGCCUUAGGGUUGUAAAGAUCUUUCAGGUGGGAAGAUAAUGACUGUACCACCAGAAGAAGCCCCGGCUAACUCCGUGCCAGCAGCCGCGGUAAUACGGAGGGGGCUAGCGUUAUUCGGAAUUACUGGGCGUAAAGCGCACGUAGGCGGACCAGAAAGUCAGAGGUGAAAGCCCGGGGCUCAACCCCGG
rnacentral:rRNA from 1 species